rnacentral:rRNA from 1 species
GACAGAGGAUGCAAACGUUGCUCGGAUUUACUGGGCGUAAAGCGCGCGCAGGCGGUCUUGUAAGUCGGACGUGAAAGCCCAGGGCUCAACCUUGGAGGUGCGUCCGAUACUGCGGGACUGGAGUACUGGAGGAGGAGAGCGGAAUUCCCGGUGUAGAGGUGAAAUUCGUAGAUAUCGGGAGGAACACCAGUGGCGAAGGCGGCUGCUCUGGACAGAUACGUGACGCUGAAGGCGGCGAAAGCCAAGGGGAGGCAAACAGGG